rnacentral:rRNA from 1 species
AUCAACGCUGGCGGCGUGCCUAAGCACAUGCAAGUCGAACGCGGUUAACGUCCCCUCAGGGGGAAGUACUGAGUGGCGAACGGGUGAGUAACACGUAGGGUGACUCUACCUUCGAUUGGGGAAUAACGUCACCGGAAAGGGACGCUAAUACCGCAUAAUGCAGCCGGCACUUGAAUAGGCUGAAGAUAAAGCCGGGGAUCGUAAGACCUGGCGUCUUGAAUGAGGAGCCCGCGGCCGAUUAGCUAGUUGGUGAGGUAACGGCUCACCAAGGCAACGAUCGGUAGCCGGCCUGAGAGGGCGGAUCGGCCACACUGGAACUGAGACUACGGUCCAGACUCCUACGGGAGGCAGCAGUGGGGAAUUGUUCGGCAAUGGGCGCAAGCCUGACGACGCAACGCCGCGUGGAAGGAUGAAGGUCCUUCGGAUUGUAAACUCGCUUAGCCCGGGACGAAAUGCUCAAGGCCUAAUAUCUCUUGGAGUUGACGGUACUGUUGAGUAAGCUCCGGCUAACUCCGUGCCAGCAGCCGCGGUAAUACAGAGGGGGAGCAAGCGUUGUUCGGAUUACUGGGCGUAAAGGGCGCGUAGGCGGCACUGCGAGUCGACUGUGAAAUCUCCUGGGCUUCAACUCAGGAACGGUCAGCCGAUACUGGUUGGCUUAGAGUGCCGGAGAGGGAAUGCGGAAUUCUCAGGUGUAGCGGUGAAAUGCGUAGAUAUCUGAGAGGAACACCUGUGGCGAAGGCGGCAUGCCUGGACCUGACAUUGACGCUGAUGCGCGAAAGCCUAGGGGAGCGAACGGGAUUAGAUACCCCGGUAGUCCUAGCCCUAAACGAUGAAUGCUUGGUGUGGUGGGUAUCGAUCCCCGGGUGCCGUAGCUAACGCAUUUAAGCAUUCCGCCUGGGGAGUACGGUCGCAAGGACUGAAACUCAAAGGGAAUUGACGGGGGACCCGCACAAGCGGUGGAGCAUGUGGUUUAAUUCGACGCAACGCGAAGAACCUUACCCAGGCUCGAACGGUAGCUGACAUCCUACGAAAGUAGGCUCCCGCAAGGGCAGCUAUCGAGGUGCUGCAUGGCUGUCGUCAGCUCGUGUCGUGAGAUGUUGGGUUAAGUCCCGCAACGAGCGCAACCCUUGUCUUCUGUUGCCAUCGGGUUAUGCCGGGCACUCUGAAGAGACUGCCGGUGACAAACCGGAGGAAGGUGGGGAUGACGUCAAGUCAGCAUGGCCUUUAUGUCUGGGGCCACACACGUGCUACAAUGGCAGGUACAAACCGUCGCGAGCCCGCGAGGGGGAGCUAAUCGGAGAAAGCCUGUCUCAGUUCGGAUUGUAGGCUGCAACUCGCCUGCAUGAAGUUGGAAUCGCUAGUAAUCGCGGAUCAGCACGCCGCGGUGAAUACGUUCCCGGGCCUUGUACACACCGCCCGUCACAUCACGAAAGCUGGCUGUACUAGAAGUCGCCGCGCUAACCCGCAAGGGAGGCAGGUGCCUAAGGUAUGGUCAGUGAUUGGGGUG